rnacentral:tRNA from 1 species
GGAAUGAUAUCCCCUGGUUUCGGCCCAAGAACAGACAGAUUUUGUCCAUUCCG